rnacentral:rRNA from 1 species
UGAGUAAGGGAUAACUUCGGGAAACUGAAGGUAAUACCUUAUAAUUGCUUAAAACUGGAAUGUUUUUGCAAUAAAAGUUACGACGCUCAAGGAUGAGUCUGCGACCUAUCAGGUAGUAGGUGGUGUAAUGGACCACCUAGCCUCAGACGGGUACGGGCCCUGGGAGGGGUAGCCCGGAGAUGGACUCUGAGACAUAAGUCCAGGCCCUACGGGGCGCAGCAGGCGCGAACACUGUGCAAUGCGCGAAAGCGCGACACGGGGAGCUUGAGUGUCUUGGCAUAGCCAAGACUUUUCUCAUUCCUAAAAAGCAUGAGGAAUAAGUGCUGGGUAAGACGGGUGCCAGCCGCCGCGGUAACACCCGCAGCACGAGUAGUGGUCACUUUUAUUGAGCCUAAAGCGUUCGUAGCCGGUUUUGUAAAUCUUCAGAUAAAGCCUGAAGCUUAACUCCAGAAAGUCUGAAGAGACUGCAAGACUUGAGACCGGGUGAGGUUAAACGUACUUUCAGGGUAGGGGUAAAAUCCUGUAAUCCCGGAAGGACGACCAGUGGCGAAAGCGUUUAACUAGAACGAAUCUGACGGUAAGGAACGAAGGCUAGGGUAGCAAACCGGAUUAGAUACCCGGGUAGUCCUAGCUGUAAACAUUGCCCAUUUGAUGUUGCUUUUCCGUUGAGGGAAGGCAGUGUCGGAGCGAAGGUGUUAAAUGGGCCGCUUGGGAAGUAUGGUCGCAAGACUGAAACUUAAAGGAAUU